AGAGAGAGAGAGAGGGAGAGGCUUCCUAUGCCAUUCAUUUCUCUCUCGGGAUUUUGAAGAUUCAAUGCUUUGAUAUGUGCCUUACUUUGAUCAAGUCCCUUGAUUUCUCUUAAAGGUUUGUGGGUUUGUUUCGAUCUUUCGUUUUUUUUUUUUUUUUUUGAAAUUUCGAAUGUUCUUGGUUUCGAUUGUUUUUCAGAUUUUCGGACGUUUUCUUAUUGUUCUUCGUGUUCUAGAUCAUGAGUUUUUCUGAUUUCAUUCAAAUUUUAAUUUGGGGAUUUUGAUUUCUGUUGUUUGAUGGUGAUAUCCUAUUGGAGGUGAUAUAAAUGGGAUCAAAGGAGAACAACCCAGCUCUCGUUAGGCCUUCAAAUUUCCAAGAAAAGAUGCUGUGGAAUGAGGUUUGCACAAUUGCUCCAGCAGCAGCCGAAGGAAACCAAGGAAGUGUCUGUGAGUUCAUUUGCUGCAAAUUCAAAGGCUGUGGAGAAUAUUGAGGAUGAGGCUUGUGAUGCUCAUGUGCCAAUGUUCGUUAAGCACACCCAAGUAGGAUGGAAGAAGAUGAAAAUGUGGAGGAUGAGGACCCCAUUAUGGACAGCAGCAGCUCUAAGGAUCCGCUUAAUUUUGUUAAGUACAUAGCUGACAUCUACGCUCACUACGGCGAAAUUGAGAUGAGCUUCGAAACUGAAAGCACUGCAUGAAUCCUAACUGAAAGCUGAUGAAACUUUGGACUAACCGGACUAGCACAGUGGACAUUUCUGCAUUUGGACCCCCCGAUCUGUAGGAAAGUGUAUCUAGGAAUUUCACAGUGAUGUAUAAUUUAUGGGGUGGGAGUGAGUUGAGUGGAGCGAGUGGGUCCAAAUGCAGAAACUUCAUCAGAAUUGCCCUGGUAUGUUUUCUAAAAUCCCCCUCAAUAACUGUUGUUUGUUUGAAAUUUCUGUUGCUUUAACUGCUUUAAAUUCUCUGCCAGUUGAUAAUGUAGAACUGAUGUAUGUGGUUGAUGAUAAUGUAAACUUGCUGCUGGAUGCAGGAUCCAGUUUUACUUUUA